rnacentral:rRNA from 1 species
AACCUGGUUGAUCCUGCCAGUAGUCAUAUGCUUGUCUCAAAGAUUAAGCCAUGCACGUUUAAAUACAAGCCUUAAAAUGGUGAAAUCGCGAAUAGCUCAUUACAACAGCCUUUGUUUCUUGGAUCUUACUCUCUACUUGGAUAACUGUGGUAAUUCUAGAGCUAAUACAUGCCUUGUAGUCCCGACGCAAGAAGGGACGCAUUUAUUAGAACUAAACCAAUCGGGCUUUGCCCGCUGUUUGGUGACUCUGAAUAACUCCGCAGAUCGCAUGGUCUAGCACCGGCGACAUAUCCUUCAAGUGUCUGCCUUAUCAACUUUCGAUGGUAGUUUAUGUGACUACCAUGGUUGUAACGGGUAACGGAGAAUUAGGGUUCGACUCCGGAGAGGGAGCCUGAGAAACGGCUACCACAUCCAAGGAAGGCAGCAGGCGCGCAAAUUACCCACUCUCGGCACGAGGAGGUAGUGACGAAAAAUAACGAGACAGUUCUCUUAUGAGGUCUGUCAUCGGAAUGGGUACAACCUAAACCCUUUAACGAGGAUCUAUUGGAGGGCAAGUCUGGUGCCAGCAGCCGCGGUAAUUCCAGCUCCAAUAGCGUAUAUUAAAGUUGUUGCGGUUAAAAAGCUCGUAGUUGGAUCUCUGGUCUUGCCGGCUGGUCUCCUUCAGGGACGCACUGGUCGGCGGACCCAGACUGUUAGUUUUCCAUGCGUGCUCUUCAUUGGGUGCGUAUGGUGGCUAGCGCGUUUACUUUGAAAAAAUUAGAGUGCUCAAAGCAGGCCUAUGUGCCUGGAUAGUGGUGCAUGGAAUAAUGGAAUAGGACGUCAGUUCUAUUUGUUGGUUCGGAAUUUGACGUAAUGAUUAAGAGGGACAGACGGGGGCAUUCGUAUUGCUACGCUAGAGGUGAAAUUCUUGGAUCGUAGCACGACGAACAACUGCGAAAGCAUUUGCCAAGAAUGUUUUCAUUAAUCAAGAACGAAAGUUAGAGGU